GUACAUAGUUUUUUAAAAGUGCCC
rnacentral:siRNA from 1 species